rnacentral:rRNA from 1 species
CGGCGGACGGGUAAGUAAUGCCUAGGAAUCUGCCUGGUAGUAGGGGACAACGUUUCGAAAGGAACGCUAAUACCGCAUACGUCCUACGGGAGAAAGCAGGGGACCUUCGGGCCUUGCGCUAUCAGAUGAGCCUAGGUCGGAUUAGCUAGUUGGUGAGGUAAUGGCUCACCAAGGCGACGAUCCGUAACUGGUCUGAGAGGAUGAUCAGUCACACUGGAACUGAGACACGGUCCAGACUCCUACGGGAGGCAGCAGAA